UUUGUGAUUCUUUUCAUUCAUUUCCAAAUUUUCUAAGAUUUUCGGUUUGGGGGUAGUGGGAAGAGCAGGAAAGGAGAAGGAAGGAGAGUAGUGGCAGAAGAGCAGGAGGAGGACAUGGAGAUGAAGAAGAAGAUUAACCUGGAGUUAAGAAACAGAGCCCCAGAGAAGGUGACAGAAUUGGUUCUUGAUAAUUGCCUGUGUGUCAAUGGGGAAACUGAGGGCCUGAACGACACUUUUAAAGAACUAGAAUUUCUGAGUGUGGCUAGCGUGGCAUACGUUCGCUGGCCCAGCUUCCCAGCCUAAAUAAACUUCGGAAGUUGGAACUUCCUGACAAUGCAAUUUCUGGAGGCUUGGAAGUUUUAGCAGAGAAAUGCCCAAAUCUUACCUACCUCAAUCUGAGUGGAAACAAAAUCAAAGAUCUGAGUACAGUAGAAGCUCUGCAAAAUCUUAAAAGUUUGAAAAGUCUGGAUUUGUUUAACUGUGAGAUCACAAACCUGGAAGAUCACCGAGAAAGUAUUUUUGAACUGCUGCAGCGAAUCACAUACUUGGAUGGAUAUGAUCAGGAAGAUAAUGAAGCACCGGACUCAGAAGAGGAGGAUGAAGAUGGAGAAGAAGAUGAGGAAGAUGAAGCUGGUCUCCCUGAGUGGGGUGAAGAGGAAGAGGAGGAAGACGAAGACGAGGAGGAGGAAGAAGAGGCUGGCUCGGAACUGGGGGAGGGAGAAGAAGUAGGCCUGUCAUACUUGAUGAAAGAAGAAAUUCAGGAUGAAGACGAUGAUGGUGACUAUGUUGAAGAAGGAAAAGAGGAGGAAGAGGAAGAAGAAAGUCUCCGGGAGGAGAAGAGAAAACGAGAAGCUGAGGAUGACGGUGAGGAAGGAGACGACCAGGUUGCUCGGUGCCCGCUGCCCGGGGCCGUGCUCGCUGAUGCUCUGGGUGGGCAGGCGCACGAGCGCAUCUCUAUUUCCCCCGUAGGAUAA